GAUGAACGCUGGCGGCGUGCUUAACACAUGCAAGUCGAACGGUGAAGCCAAGCUUGCUUGGUGGAUCAGUGGCGAACGGGUGAGUAACACGUGAGCAACCUGCCCUGGACUCUGGGAUAAGCGCUGGAAACGGCGUCUAAUACUGGAUAUGAGCCUCUUCCGCAUGGUGGGGGUUGGAAAGAUUUUUUGGUCUGGGAUGGGCUCGCGGCCUAUCAGCUUGUUGGUGAGGUAAUGGCUCACCAAGGCGUCGACGGGUAGCCGGCCUGAGAGGGUGACCGGCCACACUGGGACUGAGACACGGCCCAGACUCCUACGGGAGGCAGCAGUGGGGAAUAUUGCACAAUGGGCGAAAGCCUGAUGCAGCAACGCCGCGUGAGGGAUGACGGCCUUCGGGUUGUAAACCUCUUUUAGCAGGGAAGAAGCGAAAGUGACGGUACCUGCAGAAAAAGCGCCGGCUAACUACGUGCCAGCAGCCGCCGUAA
rnacentral:rRNA from 1 species